rnacentral:rRNA from 1 species
GAGUUUGAUCCUGGCUCAGGAUGAACGCUAGCGGCAGGCUUAACACAUGCAAGUCGAGGGGUAGAGGCUUUCGGGCCUUGAGACCGGCGCACGGGUGCGUAACGCGUAUGCAAUCUACCUUUUACAGAGGGAUAGCCCAGAGAAAUUUGGAUUAAUACCUCAUAGUAUAGUACAAUCGCAUGAUUGAACUAUUAAAGUCACAACGGUAAAAGAUGAGCAUGCGUCCCAUUAGCUAGUUGGUAAGGUAACGGCUUACCAAGGCUACGAUGGGUAGGGGUCCUGAGAGGGAGAUCCCCCACACUGGUACUGAGACACGGACCAGACUCCUACGGGAGGCAGCAGUGAGGAAUAUUGGACAAUGGGCGCAAGCCUGAUCCAGCCAUGCCGCGUGCAGGAUGACGGUCCUAUGGAUUGUAAACUGCUUUUGCACAGGAAGAAACAACAUUACGUGUAAUGUCUUGACGGUACUGUGAGAAUAAGGAUCGGCUAACUCCGUGCCAGCAGCCGCGGUAAUACGGAGGAUCCAAGCGUUAUCCGGAAUCAUUGGGUUUAAAGGGUCCGUAGGCGGUUUGGUAAGUCAGUGGUGAAAGCCCAUCGCUCAACGGUGGAACGGCCAUUGAUACUGCCAGACUUGAAUUAUUAGGAAGUAACUAGAAUAUGUAGUGUAGCGGUGAAAUGCUUAGAGAUUACAUGGAAUACCAAUUGCGAAGGCAGGUUACUACUAAUGGAUUGACGCUGAUGGACGAAAGCGUGGGUAGCGAACAGGAUUAGAUACCCUGGUAGUCCACGCCGUAAACGAUGGAUACUAGCUGUUGGGAGCGAUCUCAGUGGCUAAGCGAAAGUGAUAAGUAUCCCACCUGGGGAGUACGUUCGCAAGAAUGAAACUCAAAGGGAAUUGACGGGGGGGCCCGCACAAGCGGUGGGAGCAUGUGGGUUUAAUUUCGAUGAUACGCGAGGGAACCCUUACCAACGCUUUAAAUGUAGAUUGACCCGGGACUGGGAAACAGACCCUUUCGCAAGACAUUUACAAGUGCUGCAUGGAUGUCGUUCAGCUCGUGCCGUGAGGUGUCAGCUAGGUCCUAUACGA